rnacentral:rRNA from 1 species
CAGUCGCCGCGGUAAUACGAAGGGGGCUAGCGUUGCUCGGAAUUACUGGGCGUAAAGGGAGCGUAGGCGGACAUUUAAGUCAGGGGUGAAAUCCCAGAGCUCAACUCUGGAACUGCCUUUGAUACUGGGUGUCUUGAGUGUGAUAGAGGUAUGUGGAACUCCGAGUGUAGAGGUGAAAUUCGUAGAUAUUCGGAAGAACACCAGUGGCGAAGGCGACAUACUGGAUCAUUACUGACGCUGAGGCUCGAAAGCGUGGGGAGCAAACAGGAUUAGAUACCCGUGUAGUCCCUGUCUCUUAUAC